UUUAGGAUGGGCCUGCGUCCGAUUAGCUUGUUGGUAGGGUAACGGCCUACCAAGGCGAUGAUCGGUAGCUGGUCUGAGAGGAUGAUCAGCCACAUUGGGACUGAGACACGGCCCAGACUCCUACGGGAGGCAGCAGUGGGGAAUAUUGGACAAUGGGCGCAAGCCUGAUCCAGCCAUACCGCGUGUGUGAAGAAGGCCUUCGGGUUGUAAAGCACUUUAAGCAGGGAGAAAAAGUUAUAAGUUAAUACCUUAUAGCCGUGAUGUUACCUGCAGAAUAAGCACCGGCUAAUUCCGUGCCAGCAGCCGCGGUAAUACGGAAGGUGCAAGCGUUAAUCGGAAUUACUGGGCGUAAAGCGCGCGUAGGUGGUUUGUUAAGUUGGAUGUGAAAGCCCUGGGCUCAACCUAGGAACUGCAUCCAAAACUAACUCACUAGAGUACGAUAGAGGGAGGUAGAAUCCAUAGUGUAGCGGUGGAAUGCGUAGAUAUUAUGAAGAAUACCAGUGGCGAAGGCGGCCUACUGGAUCUGUACUGACACUGAGGUGCGAAAGCGUGGGUAGCGACCGGCAUUGAUACCUGGUAGUCACGCCGUAACGAUGAAACUAGCUGUGGGAACAAGUCU
rnacentral:rRNA from 1 species